rnacentral:misc_RNA from 1 species
AACGCACAUUGCGCCCGCCAGCACUCUGGCGGGCAUGCCUGUCCGAGCGUCAUUUCAACCCUCAGGCCCCCCCGGGGACUGGUGUUGGGGAUCGGCCCGCCCUGGCGCGGCGCCGUCCCCGAAAUACAGUGGCGGUCUCGCUGCAGCCUCCCCUGCGUAGUAGCACACCUCGCAUCGGAGAGCGGCGCGGCCACGCCGUGAAACCCCAACUUCUGAUAGUUGACCUCGGAUCAGGUAGGAAUACCCGCUGAACUUAA